GCUGGGUGUGGUGGCACGCACCUGUAAUCCCAGCUACGAGGGAGGUUGAGACAGGAGAAUCGCUUGAACCCAGGAGGCCUGUGGUGAACUGAGAUUGAGCCACUGCACUCCAGCCUGGGUGACAGAGCAAGACUCUGCCUCAA
rnacentral:SRP_RNA from 1 species